UGGAGACGUAUCGAAGAGGCCAUAACGAGAACGACUCGAAAUCGUUUGAUCGGUCAAAAGCCGGUCCGUGGGUUCGAAUCCCACCGUCUCCGU
rnacentral:tRNA from 1 species